AAACUUUCAACAACGGAUCUCUUGGUUCCGGCAUCGAUUAACAAACGCNUCCAACCUCGAUAAGUAAUGUGAAUUGCAGAAUUCAGUGAAUCAUCGAAUCUUUGAACGCACAUUGCGCCCUCUGGUAUUCCGGGGGGCAUGCCUGUCCGAGCGUCAUUA
rnacentral:rRNA from 1 species